rnacentral:rRNA from 1 species
GUAAUCACCUUUUAUUAGGCAAUGGUAGUGUAGGUGGUGGAGUGGAUUGGCAACGUCAAUCUAUUAAAGAAGGUUCUAAUGGAUUCCCUAAUAAAGAACAUUUCGAUAAUACAGGCUUAUAUCUAACUGGACAGCAAAAGUUAGGCAAUGUGAUUGCUGAAGCAUCGGUACGUUCUGAUCAUCAUUCUGAAUACAAUUGGCAUACUACGUGGCAAUCUAAUUUAGCGUGGGAGUUCGUUGAGGGCUAUCGUGUGAUUGGUGGUUAUGGUACAGCAUUUAAAGCACCGACACUGAUGCAACUUUAUAGUGAAUGGGGAAGUAAUCCAAACUUACAACCCGAAAAGAGUAAACAGUGGGAGGGGGGCUUUGAAGGCGUAACAGGACCUUUAGCGUGGCGUUUGACUGCAUAUAGAAAUAAUAUUACUAAUUUAAUUGAAGCCGAUUCUAAGCAAGGAUGGAAAAAUUAUAAUAUUGGAGAAGCUUUAAUUAAAGGCGUCGAAUUUACGGGUGAAAUGGAUACGUGGAUUUUCCAUCACACCUUUAAUUACCAAUAUAUAGAUGCAAGAAAUAAAGAAACGCACCAACGUCUUGAUCGUCGAGCUCGUCAGCAAGUGAAAUAUCAGCUUGAUUGGCAAGUCGAAAAAUUAGAUAUGGGGGUGACAUACCAAUAUAUCGGUCAACGUACUGAUAAAGAGUAUGAUCCUUCAACUUAUUCAUCAAAACCUAUUUCUCUAGGCGGUGUGAGUAUUUGGGAUUUAACUGCGUCAUAUCCUAUUACAUCACAUCUCUCAAUUCGUGGUAGAAUAGCCAACCUGUUUGAUAAAGAUUAUGAGACAGCUUAUGGCUAUCGCACGCCAGGACGUGAAUACUUCCUCACAGGAAGCUACAACUUCUGAUGCACUAUCUACCGCUAACCCUACUGUAUUGAUUUUUGAUUCAGGGGUUGGCGGUUUAUCUGUUUAUCGUGAGAUCCGUGAAAAAUUACCGGAUGCUCACUAUAUCUAUGUUUUCGAUAAUGAAGCUUUCCCUUAUGGUGAGAAAUCACAAGAAUUCAUUAUUGACCGUGUUGUUCGAAUUGUUAGCGCGGUGGCUGAAAAGCACUUUCUCGCCACCAUUGUUAUUGCUUGUAAUACAGCAAGCACAGUGAGCCUCCCUGCUUUACGUGCAAAGUUUACUGAUAUUCCUAUUGUGGGUGUUGUACCUGCUAUUAAACCGGCAGCUAAAUUAACCUGUAAUGGGGUCGUUGGAUUAUUAGCGACGAGAGCAACAGUUAAACGCCCUUAUACCCAUGAACUGAUAGAACGCUUUGCAACUGAUUGUAAAGUUCAUUCUUUAGGUUCGGCCGAGCUGGUGGAACUAGCAGAAAGGAAACUUCAUGGCGAGGAAGUUUCUCUAGAUGCGCUUCGUAAAAUUCUUACACCUUGGCUAAAAAUGAAAGAGCCACCAGAUACAGUCGUAUUAGGCUGUACUCAUUUCCCUUUAUUAGCUGAUGAACUUCUUUCUGUUUUACCUGAUGGCACACGAAUUAUCGAUUCUGGUGCUGCAAUUGCACGAAGAACUGCGUGGUUGGUCGUAAAUCAAGCGAAAAUAAAAGGUUCAAAUGAAAUUAGCUUCGCUUAUUGCUUAAAAGAAGAUGAGAAUAGCGAAUUAUUAAAACCUGUUUUAGCGGGUUUUGGCUUUGAAUCGCUCAGAAAACUAGCGCUUUAAGUGCAAUUUGGUGGAAAAUUCAACGGUCAGUUAAAAAACUAAAAAAAAGUGUUGCCAGCUUCACAAAACUCCCUAUAAUGCGCCCUCGUUGUCACGGCAAACCACGCUAAGUGAGUUAGCCAAGAGGACAAAAAAAUAAAGUGAAAAGCCUUGAAAAUAAACGCUUGACACUGAAUGAGGAAGAUGUAGAAUGCACCUCCUCGCAACAACGCAGAAGACCGGAAACGGCAGCGAAUGUUGCACUGCUCUUUAACAAAUUAUCAGACAAUCUGUGUGGGCACUCGCAGAGACGAUAUCUUCUAAAAUAUUAGAUGUAUCAAGUCUUGAAGAGUGAACAACAAAAGUAAAUUCAUUUAUGAAUAGCUAAGUUUUCGAUUUCUUUGAGCAUCAAACACUUUUAAUUGAAGAGUUUGAUCAUGGCUCAGAUUGAACGCUGGCGGCAGGCCUAACACAUGCAAGUCGAGCGGUAACAGAAGAAAGCUUGCUUUCUUGCUGACGAGCGGCGGACGGGUGAGUAAUGUAUGGGGAUCUGCCCGAUAGAGGGGGAUAACUACUGGAAACGGUGGCUAAUACCGCAUGACGUCUACGGACCAAAGCAGGGGCUCUUCGGACCUUGCGCUAUCGGAUGAACCCAUAUGGGAUUAGCUAGUAGGUGAGGUAAAGGCUCACCUAGGCGACGAUCUCUAGCUGGUCUGAGAGGAUGAUCAGCCACACUGGGACUGAGACACGGCCCAGACUCCUACGGGAGGCAGCAGUGGGGAAUAUUGCACAAUGGGCGCAAGCCUGAUGCAGCCAUGCCGCGUGUAUGAAGAAGGCCUUAGGGUUGUAAAGUACUUUCAGCGGGGAGGAAGGUGAUAAAGUUAAUACCUUUAUCAAUUGACGUUACCCGCAGAAGAAGCACCGGCUAACUCCGUGCCAGCAGCCGCGGUAAUACGGAGGGUGCAAGCGUUAAUCGGAAUUACUGGGCGUAAAGCGCACGCAGGCGGUCAAUUAAGUCAGAUGUGAAAGCCCCGAGCUUAACUUGGGAAUUGCAUCUGAAACUGGUUGGCUAGAGUCUUGUAGAGGGGGGUAGAAUUCCAUGUGUAGCGGUGAAAUGCGUAGAGAUGUGGAGGAAUACCGGUGGCGAAGGCGGCCCCCUGGACAAAGACUGACGCUCAGGUGCGAAAGCGUGGGGAGCAAACAGGAUUAGAUACCCUGGUAGUCCACGCUGUAAACGAUGUCGAUUUAGAGGUUGUGGUCUUGAACCGUGGCUUCUGGAGCUAACGCGUUAAAUCGACCGCCUGGGGAGUACGGCCGCAAGGUUAAAACUCAAAUGAAUUGACGGGGGCCCGCACAAGCGGUGGAGCAUGUGGUUUAAUUCGAUGCAACGCGAAGAACCUUACCUACUCUUGACAUCCAGCGGAUCCUUUAGAGAUAAAGGAGUGCCUUCGGGAACGCUGAGACAGGUGCUGCAUGGCUGUCGUCAGCUCGUGUUGUGAAAUGUUGGGUUAAGUCCCGCAACGAGCGCAACCCUUAUCCUUUGUUGCCAGCGCGUCAUGGCGGGAACUCAAAGGAGACUGCCGGUGAUAAACCGGAGGAAGGUGGGGAUGACGUCAAGUCAUCAUGGCCCUUACGAGUAGGGCUACACACGUGCUACAAUGGCAGAUACAAAGAGAAGCGACCUCGCGAGAGCAAGCGGAACUCAUAAAGUCUGUCGUAGUCCGGAUUGGAGUCUGCAACUCGACUCCAUGAAGUCGGAAUCGCUAGUAAUCGUAGAUCAGAAUGCUACGGUGAAUACGUUCCCGGGCCUUGUACACACCGCCCGUCACACCAUGGGAGUGGGUUGCAAAAGAAGUAGGUAGCUUAACCUUCGGGAGGGCGCUUACCACUUUGUGAUUCAUGACUGGGGUGAAGUCGUAACAAGGUAACCGUAGGGGAACCUGCGGUUGGAUCACCUCCUUACCUAAGAGAUACGUGUUAUGUGCAGUGCUCACACAGAUUGUCUGAUGAAGAACGAGCAAAACACAGCACUGUGCAAACACGAAAGUGGACGUAUACGGUGUGACGCCUGCCCGGUGCUGGAAGGUUAAUUGAUGGGGUUAUCCUUAGGGAGAAGCUCUUGAUCGAAGCCCCAGUAAACGGCGGCCGUAACUAUAACGGUCCUAAGGUAGCGAAAUUCCUUGUCGGGUAAGUUCCGACCUGCACGAAUGGCGUAAUGAUGGCCAGGCUGUCUCCACCCGAGACUCAGUGAAAUUGAACUCGCUGUGAAGAUGCAGUGUACCCGCGGCAAGACGGAAAGACCCCGUGAACCUUUACUAUAGCUUGACACUGAACAUUGAGCCUUGAUGUGUAGGAUAGGUGGGAGACUAUGAAGUGUGGACGCCAGUCUGCAUGGAGUCAACCUUGAAAUACCACCCUUUAACGUUUGAUGUUCUAACCUAGGCCCAUAAUCUGGGUCGGGGACCGUGUCUGGUGGGUAGUUUGACUGGGGCGGUCUCCUCCUAAAGAGUAACGGAGGAGCACGAAGGUUGGCUAAGCAUGGUCGGACAUCAUGCGGUUAGUGCAAAGGCAUAAGCCAGCUUGACUGUGAGAGUGACGGCUCGAGCAGGUACGAAAGUAGGUCUUAGUGAUCCGGUGGUUCUGAAUGGAAGGGCCAUCGCUCAACGGAUAAAAGGUACUCCGGGGAUAACAGGCUGAUACCGCCCAAGAGUUCAUAUCGACGGCGGUGUUUGGCACCUCGAUGUCGGCUCAUCACAUCCUGGGGCUGAAGUAGGUCCCAAGGGUAUGGCUGUUCGCCAUUUAAAGUGGUACGCGAGCUGGGUUUAGAACGUCGUGAGACAGUUCGGUCCCUAUCUGCCGUGGGCGUUGGAAGAUUGAGAGGGGUUGCUCCUAGUACGAGAGGACCGGAGUGAACGCACCACUGGUGUUCGGGUUGUCAUGCCAAUGGCAUUGCCCGGUAGCUAAGUGCGGAAGAGAUAACCGCUGAAAGCAUCUAAGCGGGAAACUUGCCUCGAGAUGAGUCUUCCCUGUCACCUUGAGUGACCUAAAGGAACGUUUAAGACUAAGACGUUGAUAGGCUGGGUGUGUAAGCGUAGCGAUACGUUGAGCUAACCAGUACUAAUGAACCGUGAGGCUUAACCUG